rnacentral:lncRNA from 1 species
CAGAAGAGGAGGCCGCAGAAGCGCGCGGCUCUGCGGACCCAAAUGGAGCCAGCAGCGGCCGCAGCCCGAGGGGCUGAGCAGGCCUCCCAGAGGGCGAGGGAGUUCAAGGGCCUGGGGGCCCACACAGUGCAGUCAGGCCCACGUGCCUUGUCCCAGAGCUUUGCAGACAAGAACCUGCUACCCCUGACACCCCGGCAGCUGGCAGGUAAGGGCUCAGGACUGGAAGCUGGGAGGAAAACCAGGGGGUGCUCAGAGCAGAAUGCAACCGACUUGGCUGCCCAGGGGCUGGGAAGGCUGUGAGAAGCCAAGCCAGUGAUUGUAUUGGAACCUUCUCUCCCUGCCAGUCAGACUUGCUCAUCUCUGCUACCCCAGGGUUCACUGCUGGGGGUGGGUGGGGGAGUGUGAAGAAGGGAUGGAUGGAUGGAUUGGUGGAUAGAAAGUAUUUAGAGGAGUUCCUGUCGUGGCUCAGUGAUUAACGAAUCUGACUAGGAACGAUGAGGUUAUGGGUUCGAUCCCUGUCCUUGCUCAGUGGGUCAAGGAUCCGGUAUUGCUGUGGGCUGUGGUGUAGGUUGCAGAUGUGGCUCAGAUCCAGCGCUGCUAUGGCUCUGGCAUAGGCUUGGCGGCUACAGCUACGAUUAGACCCCUAGCCUGGGUGUGGCCCUAGAAAAGGCAAAAAGACAAAAAAAAAAAAAAAAAAAAAAAAAAAAGAAAGAAAGUAUUUAGAUAGUGGAUGGAUGGAUGGUGGAUGAAUGAACAGAAUGGAAGGAAGAAGGGAAACUGGGAGAAAGGAUGGAAAAAAAGAAUCUGAGGUCCCCACGCUGCUGGGGUUUGGGGCUGUGGGGGCUGUGAGUAGGGGUGGAAGGAAUCCCAAUGCCCUUGCCAAGAUCGUGCCCUGAUAUUGGCAGGGACCCCUCAAAGCAGAAUCAUUCUAUUCAUCAUCAGUGAUUUUCAGUACCUGCUAUGUGCCAGGCGCCAGCAGCGCUCAAGGAGCCCUCAGGCACUGUCUCCAGGGCCAGACUGCUGGCGUCCAAAGCCCAGCAUUACCCCUACUGGAGACAUGACCUUGGACAUGAGUUUUUAAUGUUUUUCAUAUAAACAUGUCCAAACGUGAGUUUUCAACACGAGAAUUGAAUGGACACGUAACAAGUGCCAACACACAGCAGCCACUGUUUUCUUUACAUUGUUAUAAUACCCAGGGGGUUGGUGGAUUCCAGUCUUGUCUCAUCCGGGCCACAGUGGGCGAAUCUCAGUGUUCCUGUGUGUGCUCUUUACCUGCUGCCUUUCCCCCUCCCGGCCCCUA